rnacentral:rRNA from 1 species
CCUACGGGGGGCAGCAGUGAGGAAUAUUGGUCAAUGGCCGAGAGGCUGAACCAGCCAAGUCGCGUGAGGGAAGAAUGUCCUAUGGAUUGUAAACCUCUUUUGUCAGGGAGCAAAGUCACCCACGUGUGGGUGUUGGAGAGUACCUGAAGAAAAAGCAUCGGCUAACUCCGUGCCAGCAGCCGCGGUAAUACGGAGGAUGCGAGCGUUAUCCGGAUUUAUUGGGGUUAAAGGGUGCGUAGGCGGGUUAUCAAGUCAGCGGUAAAAGCGUGGAGCACAACUCCAUCCAGCCGUUGAAACUGAUGAUCUUGAGUGGGCGAGAGGUAUGCGGAAUGCGUGGUGUAGCGGUGAAAUGCAUAGAUAGCACGAAGAACUCCGAUUGCGAAGGCAGCAUACCGGCGCCCGACUGACGCUGAAGCACGAAAGCGUGGGUAGCGAACAGGAUUAGAUACCCUUGUAGUC